rnacentral:lncRNA from 1 species
GUUCCAUCUUUGACUUUUUAUUUAUCAAGAGCUAAUACAGAGUUAACAAUGCUGAACACACUGUUUAUCAUGCAAGAAAUAUACUGAAUUUUAAUCCUUUUCUUCUUUUCUAACUAUUGCUACUGAAGAGACAGUAAAGGCAUUUUGUAUUUGUAGGAGAGAGCAUUUAUUAACUCAAGUCUUGUCUCAAGUGUGGCACAAUCAGAAUGUUCUGAACAGCUGGUUAGGAAGAUAGCCAAGAUGCAAGAAAGAUGUCUGAGCCUCCUUUUCAAGGGCAGCCAACUCUUGAACUGUAGGUGCCAGAAUAUCCACAUGGCCUUUAUAAAGUCCACCACCAAGGGCUCUUUUCUGUCCAUAUGUAACUUUCCCAUCAAAGUCAUCUACUGGUACUUUUAUGUCUGGUUCAACUUGGGAAAUAGUGCAGUUUAAGUGUUCUUCAAUUUCUCCCAGCAACUGCAUUUCAUUGUACCAUAUGGUACAACCACCUUCUUCCUUGAGUCUAGUAUUAUAACACCCCUUUCCACGACUACUGCAUACAUGAUACCAAACCUUUUCCUUCUCUUUUGCCACAAGGGAAAUUGCCAGACCCAUCCUUUCAGCUCUGCCUACUCUUCCAAUUCGAUGAACAUAGUUCUGUUUUUCAUCAGGGAGUGUGACGUUGAUAACAUAGGGAACACCAUGAAUAUCGAUUCCUCUAGCUGCAACAUCUGUGCAGAUCAAGAAACGGACAUCCCCUCUCUUAAAUCUUUCCAGGUUCUGCUUUCUUUCUUGAGGCUUUCUGUCACCAUGCAGACAGACACAUGAGAACUGAUGUCCCUUCCUAUCGGGGCCUCCACCCUGUUGGAUGAAGUAUUGCUCCAUAUUAUCACAAUCUAUUUUUGUCCUGCAGAAAAUAAUGGCCUGGUCCAUCUUGUGUUCCUUGAUUGCCCGAACAGUGUACUCUCCUUUUAGAAUUUUGAUAGCUUCAGACCACAUUUCUGGAGUGUUUGCACCAGGUCGUGUAUUGUCCUUUGCAUGUACUUCAUCAGUUCUGAUAUGAUUCUUGCCAAGCCUUUCCCAGAGUUUGUCGGUUUUGGGAUUUACAAUCACAACUACAUGGUGUACAGUUUCAGGGACAGAAUCUUCUCCUUUCAAAUCAACCCAGGUAGGAAAAUGCAUGAUCUUUUCAGAUAGUUUUUUCACAUCAAAAGAAUGUAGUGUUGCAGAACACACAAUCACCUGAAGUCUCUUGCCAUCUGAAGUUAUCUGUGGAAUUUGGCUGUGGAUCCUGUUUAUGAAAUCUGAAUACCCUUGAAGAAGAAGGCCAUCAGCUUCAUCCAGAACGAGGAAUCUAACUUGAGAUAAAUUAAGUUUUCCUGUUGAGACCAGGUCAUCCAGUCUUCCAGGAGUUCCAACAACAAUAUCCACUCCUUGUUCCAGCACAGAAAGUUGAUCUCUUGCAGCAACUCCACCAAUAAUCAACAGUUCCCUUAACUUGGGAUUAUCGAUGUAUUUUUUGAACUGCUUCACAUUAUUCAAAGUUUGUUCUGCCAGCUCUCUCGAUGGUUCUACAAUCAAUGCUUUUGGAGCAUUUGGAAGGUUCUGUGUUUGAACCACUUGUGCAUUUCCUGUAUGUUGUGAUUUUACAACAUUACCAUCUGGAGCUUUGCAAAGACCAAUAUAGCCAUCUUUUGGUGGAAAUUUGAAGUCUUCUUCACCAAAAUUGAAUUUCAAUUCAGCAUUCUUCAGUACACAAGCUGCAAAGAGUGCCUGGUUCCUUAUAUGUGGUGGGAAUUCAAACGCAAGGCCAAGGUCUUUCCCAUUUUUGGAAAAUUUAAUUUGUCCUUUAUCUAUGUCUAGAUAACAUCCAAUUGUAUCAUGCAUGGUGAAUUCCUCACCGUAGCUGUCAAAUUGCUUGUUGUGAGACUUCUUACCAGUUCCACCAAAUCCAAAGCCAAAUUUAUCAGUACCCAAAUCUAGUGAAGCCUGCAUAGUUGACCAACCAACUCUGCACAAGCCUUGGUCAUGACAAGACACUUCGUAAUAGUAUUUUCCUUUAGUCACACCUCUAGUUGCUCUGCAUCCAUGCCAUUCUUUUACUUCUCUGCUUUGACAACACAGACCAUCUGAUCCAAUUGCAAAAGCUGAUCCUCUGUCAUAUGGGUUCAUCUGCCAUUUAUUGAGGACUGCCCCACCAGUUUUAAUAGUUGCCUUCCCUUUCUUCCCUUCCAUUUGGUCCUUCAGUGUUUCAUACACAAUUUGGAUAACUGGAAUGCUGAAAGCACCAGUUUUUCCACUCCCUGUUUCUGCAGCCAUGAGUACAUCACCACCUCCCAGAAUCAAUGGGAUAGAUUCUGCUUGAAUAUCUGUAGGAAGAAGCCAAUCCAUCUCCUCCACUGCUUGAGCUAUUUCUGGCAUAACACCCAUUUCCGAGAACGCCGCCAUCUUCAC